rnacentral:misc_RNA from 1 species
GGACGGUCAUUGAUUGCUGCCCACAGAUUCCAACCAGUAAAGUCUGCUUGCUGAAAGGCCACCUGAGCAGUUGCUGGAAGAAGUUUUCCACCAGAAUCCCUUAGAGCAGAAGAGUCACCAAGUGCAAAAAUCCGAGGAUGGCCCUUAACACGUAGUGUUUCAUCUGUCUCUGCUUGUCCUCGGGCAUUUAGGGGAAGCUCACGGGGCCUGUUAUAGGAUUCCAGUUGAGAAAGCAGAGGUUUAGAUCCAACAGUCCAUAACACUAUAUCUGCUUCAAGAAUUUGACUUUCUAAUCCCUUUUCAGCAGGUUGUAGCUCCAAAUGAUAUUUGUCAGAACUAUGUUGCACUGCAAUGUCCUCAGAUGCACCAAUCUCUGUAGUUUCUGAGUUACUAGCUAUCCGAAUACAGCGAACAAAAUAACCCAGUAAAAGUUGAACUUUUCUGGAUGUAAGAACCUUAAGCGCAGCUUCCCUAUUGCCAGGUGG